GGCUCAGAUUGAACGCUGGCGGCAUGCUUUACACAUGCAAGUCGAACGGCAGCGGGGGNUUCGGCCUGCCGGCGAGUGGCGAACGGGUGAGUAAUGCAUCGGAACGUGCCCAUGUCGUGGGGGAUAACGUAUCGAAAGGUACGCUAAUACCGCAUACGUCCUGAGGGAGAAAGCGGGGGACCGUAAGGCCUCGCGCGAUUGGAGCGGCCGAUGUCGGAUUAGCUAGUUGGUGAGGUAAAGGCUCACCAAGGCGACGAUCCGUAGCGGGUCUGAGAGGAUGAUCCGCCACACUGGGACUGAGACACGGCCCAGACUCCUACGGGAGGCAGCAGUGGGGAAUUUUGGACAAUGGGCGCAAGCCUGAUCCAACCAUGCCGCGUGAGUGAAGAAGGCCUUCGGGUUGUAAAGCUCUUUCGGCCGGGAAGAAAUCGUGUUCUCUAACAUAGGACAUGGAUGACGGUACCGGACUAAGAAGCACCGGCUAACUACGUGCCAGCAGCCGCGGUAAUACGUAGGGUGCGAGCGUUAAUCGGAAUUACUGGGCGUAAAGCGUGCGCAGGCGGUUUGGUAAGACAGGUGUGAAAUCCCCGGGCUUAACCUGGGAACUGCGCUUGUGACUGCCAGGCUAGAGUACGGCAGAGGGGGGUGGAAUUCCACGUGUAGCAGUGAAAUGCGUAGAGAUGUGGAGGAACACCGAUGGCGAAGGCAGCCCCCUGGGCCUGUACUACGCUCUGCC
rnacentral:rRNA from 1 species